rnacentral:tRNA from 1 species
GGAAAUAGCUCAGUGGUAGAAUGCUUGCUUAGCAUGCACAAGGUCCUGGGUUUAAGUCCCAGUACUUCCA